AUUCUCGGGGCCCGAGGCUCAGCCGCUCGCGGUGGAGAAAGCAGGCCGCGGAGGAGGCGGGCGCCCAGGCCUGCCCGGACAGGAAGUGGGCCCAGCUUUCCCACUCCUCGCUCCGCUCCUUCCUCCGCGGGAAGGGCAGGCCCCGGAGGCAGCGAGCGCCCCGGGGGUGGCCGGGCAGCCGGAUGCUCCCGGGGUUGCGGGCUGUGGCCCCGGGGGCUGAGGGCGGCGCGGGUGCGGCGGAAGCAGGGAAGCCGCGAACCGGCCUUCUGGCUGGCCACAGCGCCCUGCACGGACGAUCAGUGAAUGGAGAUUACUCAAGUAUUUAUCGAGAACUUGCAGUGGGCUAGGCACAGUUCAGGUCACUCCCUCUGGAGGAAACCAGCUGCCACUUUGUGAGGAUACUCAUAGUCCUGUGGAGGCAUAUCCUCCAUAUGGCUGAGACCUCCUGCGAACAACCAUCACUGACUUGCCAGACAUGAGUGUGCCACCUUGGAAGCAGAUUUUCCAGCCCCAGUUAAGCCUUCAGAUGACAUCAGCCCCUGCUAAUCUCUUGACUACAACCUCAUGAGAGACCCUGAGCCAGAACUAGCCAGGCUUACCCCUCAUGGUUACAAAGUGGCUGCAACAGCUCCAGGUGUUCUAUCCUUUAACACAGAAUAACUCAAACAACAAGACCCAAUAUUCAGACAAGAAGGAAAGGGACUUUUGGAGAGUGAAGAAAACUUUCCUAGAAACCUCAAACUUCUCCCCAUGCCUUAUUGGCCAGAUUGUAUCCCAUGCCCAUUUCUAAACCAAUCAUUGGCAAAGUGAGUGGAAUUGACGUGAUUAGAUUAACUUUACCAAGAAUGCAUCCUCAGAGAGGCUGAGAAAAAGUCCAGCCUCCUUUGAAGAGCCUGGCUACCUUUCACCUGAACAAAACAAGAAUUCUGAUGAAAAAUGGAGAAUGUAUGUGGAGCAGGCACCCGGAGUGUCUAUGCCAGGAUUUUUUUUCAGUGCGUUUCACCGGUUAUAUUUUUGUCUCUUUACCUUACAAGAUAUGUGGCACGUUUGCCUAAAACAAGCCUUGCUUUCUGAUUUCUGUGCACUAGGCACUUAAACCUUGCAAAUGUCGCUUACCUAACAGUCACUGUCAAGGAGUACCUGGCUAAAGAAUCUCCAGCUAGACAAAGUAGAAGUGUCUGUGCUCUGGCAGUUGAAUAUAUUGUAUCAGGCUCAACAGCACCUUUCACCAAAGGAUGAGACUUCACAACCAUUAGAUCUUCUUUUAUUUUGUUUUUAUUAAAAAAAAAAAUUUUAACACACCAUUGCUAACUUGAAGCCAUUAGAUCUUCUUACCCCCAAUACCACAAAAGUUUAGUGGAAUCAGGGGUAUACCAAGGCAGGUGGAGUAGGGGAGCUGGGAGUGGUCAGCCCCCAGGGCAGGCAAUGAGGGAUUGUGAAUCUGUGAAGAAUUUUAAAGCAAUGAUACAGCUCUAAAUGCAAUGUACUAUCCUGGACUUAGCCCUGGAAAAGAAAAAAGAUAUUAGUGGAAAAACUGGUAAAAUUCAAAUAAUGUCUGUAGUUUGGUUAAUAGUAUUAUACCAAUGUUAAUUUCUGUGUUUUGAUAAAUGUACCAUGGUUAUGUAAGCUGGAUGAAAGAUAUGUGGGAAAUCUCUCUACUAUUUCUGCAACUCUCCUGUAAACCUAAAAAUGUUUCAAAAUAAAAGAUUUAAUGCUAAAAUUGAC
rnacentral:lncRNA from 1 species